GGAGCAUCGUUUCGGAGAAGAAUAAGCUGACCAUGACGGUGAAGGAAGACUGCCUCCCAUCUCCACGGAAACAGAGGUGCAGGGUUUUUCAGCGUAAACAAAACAGCAAGCGAAAGAGCGAAAGAUGCAAAGCUGAGUUCAAACUAUGGUCACUCUGCAUCAGUCAUGUCCGUCACCUCAGACGUGUGCAACAACCUGCAGGCAUCACAGCAUCUUCAGGGGGAAAAAAACAAGUCUUUCCACAUCUGGAAUAUUCACGCAGGUCUGAGAGAUGAGAGACGGGAGACGAGACGUUCGCUCGUCCCAGAGCUCUGGCUGCAGGGGCUUCAGACUGGUGUCUGGUGAUGGUGGAAUCGAUAUGCACUCAUCUGUCCUCCACAGCAGAUUAAUAUUUAUCUCACACAGUGUCAGGGGAGAUUUAUGCUGCUUCCACAACCAGAAUCUAAUCCAGGUGGAAGUGCAGUGGACGCUGAAGGCUCGGCCUCACCGUCUCAGACUCGGACUCAGAAUCAAACAAGUCCAAUAAAGCCAGUGAUUCAGUGAGGCGUAAUUUACAGCUGCUAUAAUGGAAGAUGACAUCACUGUAAAUUUGUAUAUACUGGUCUAAGGAGGCUGACUGGCGAGGCCAUGCCCUGGAACAAAUGCCACACCCCCUUCUUUACGACUGACUGGCACAGAGGCCACCCCUUCUUCUUUAGGGCUCAGCUUUUGAUAACGACACAUCAAUAAUUCAUCCAGAGGGACGGCACUAUGUGGGUCCGGCGUUAAUCAGCGGACACGUCGCUUUCUGAUGGACUUUUAUGAUGAAUAGGCAAAACGUUGGAUUAGUCUGAGCGACGAGAGUCAGAUGAAAAAGACAGUUUGGCGCCUCCCUCAUCGCUUAGUUUUCUAAUUCUGCUCCUGGCCGUCGUCCAACACGUCCCUCAAACCCGAGCUGGUGUGAAUGGUGCCAUCUUCUGGAUCUGCUGGAAGGAGGAUUUAAAAAAAAAAAUUUUUUUAGUGCUGGAUAAUAGGCUGGGCCAACACACACACACACACAUACACACACCAGGCACACACACACACACACACAUACAUACAUACAUACACAUACACACACACACCAGACACACACAUAUACAUAUACACACACACACACGCACCAUUCCGAUCUUUAAAACCUCCCUUAACUCUAAAUCAGAGGAAAAAAAAGAAUCUGGCAGAUUGUAAUUGGUGAUCCAAUUAUGUCUCUUUUUUUUCAGCAGGGAAAAGGGAAAAAAACCACACAUGGGCUAGCUUCCAGAACGUUCAGCGGAGGCGACGUGCAGCACGAGCCGGGCUCCAGUAGAGAGUUCUAAUAAAUGAGUGCGAUUCCCGGGGAACAGGUGGUGCGCUGUCUGCUGGAGCACAAGCAGCCGUAUUUACCUCUUCAACUCGCCCUGCCCAGAGCGCGCUCAACAUCUUAUUGCUUUUUAUUUAUAUCCAUAUGGAGGAGCACAUAUUUCAGCUCUAAAGUCUGGGAGCACUGAAAUGACAGCAUGUUUGGAUUUGUUGCAGUGAAAUGACUCAAUUAAACCCGACUCGUGGCGCUCGCAGAGCCGCAGCAGGUCCAGAAACAGCCAGAGGAAACGCCAGGCUGCAGCGCCGGUGGACAUGCGGCUCGUCUCGGCUCGUAACGCUGUGACGCCUCGUGGCUAAUAACCUAGCGUAAUCAGGGGACUGGCUAGAAGGGGCGGGGUUUAGAUUGCUCAUGGACGCGGGGCUGUUUCAGCCCUCCCCCAACUCAGUGCAUCUUUACAUAUACUCUGUAUUAUUUAUUUUUAUUUAUUUAUUUUUCC